GGCUCUGUAGCUUAGUAGUUAGAGCACUGGUCUUAUAAACCAAGAACUACUGCAAUGCAUUUCACAAGAGAUGAGAUGAAGCCA
rnacentral:tRNA from 1 species